AUUGAACGCUGGCGGCAUGCUUUACACAUGCAAGUCGAACGGCAGCCCGGGAGCUUGCUCCUGGUGGCGAGUGGCGAACGGGUGAGUAAUGCAUCGGAACGUACCCAGUAGUGGGGGAUAGCCCGGCGAAAGCCGGAUUAAUACCGCAUAUUUCCUGAGGGAGAAAGCGGGGGACCUUCGGGCCUCGCGCUACUGGAGCGGCUGAUGUCGGAUUAGCUAGUUGGUGAGGUAAAGGCUCACCAAGGCGACGAUCCGUAGCUGGUCUGAGAGGAUGAUCAGCCACACUGGGACUGAGACACGGCCCAGACUCCUACGGGAGGCAGCAGUGGGGAAUUUUGGACAAUGGGGGCAACCCUGAUCCAGCCAUGCCGCGUGAGUGAAGAAGGCCUCGGUGUAAGACUCUUUCAGGUGGAAGGAAAUACACUACCCGAACUAACGGGUAGGUGGAGUGACGGUACCGAUACAGAAGAAGACACCGG
rnacentral:rRNA from 1 species